AUGCUACAAAACUGCAAGACCUAUCAUUGCCAGGAGGAUGGUGUAAUUGAAAUGGUCGAUCUUGGUGAACAUGACUACAGGUUCUUUGGCAGCCAGUUCUCGGAGCUCGAGCCCGUAGCUAUUGAUCUUAGCCAGGGGCGUUCUCCCGAAAAGACAAGAUCUGGUGUUAUGAAGGGGCGGUUGGGAGCUCUGAGAGGUUCUACAGCUGCUUGUGCAGAGAGCCCUACUAGACCCAAGAAUCCCAUUGUGGAAUUGAUAGACAGCGAUGAUGAUGUGUUCAACAAGAUUGCUGGCGUUGGAAGAGUCAUGAGGAGCGCUGCUGCCAAAGGUUUAUGUCCCCUUGCUGGAAUAGUGGCUCGUAGAGCUGGUGGUGCUAGGAAAGAUCCUGCUUUGGAUUCUGGCAAUGUUGUAAGCACAAAGCGUGCGCCCAGAGCUCCUAUAAAGUUUUUCUCCCCUGUGCAGCAGCUUCACCCUCAUAAAUUCCCUCACCUGGACAAGGCUCGCAGGUUGUAUAAUCUGUUGCUUAGUGAUGAAUGGCGUCAUAAGUAUGCCGAGAAUACAUUCUCAAUGAUACCUCAGCCUGAUGAAAGCGUAACUAGCUUCACUAGGAAUCGCAUCUGGGAAGUUUUUUCACCUGGGCAAAUGAUGGAGGGUGAUGUUGUGCUUGAAUGUAUGUUUUAUGGUGAUGAAAAUAAAGUGUUUAAUGUGGAGAGUGCAGCGAGACAUUUCAAGAGCUAUGUUAAAGAUAAGGAAGGCUUGCUCAGUGCCGACCUUAUCAUGAUGCCUCUAUUCAAGCCUAUAAUUUUAGGAAAGGAUAAGAAAGUGAACCACUAUUCCUUAUAUGUCAUGAAUCGGUACCGCAGUAGCGUUGACAUCCUUGACUCUUUACCUUAUCCUAAGAACCGCCGUCCUUCAAAGAACACCUAUCAUAAAGACUGCGAGAAGAUUAUUUCUAGAUUGGUCAAAGUAAUGAAGGUUGUGUAUGGUGAUGCUCAGUACAAUGCGAGCAAGCAGCCCAAUUGGGAGCUGUUUGAAAACAAACCAACAUUUGUCAAGGUUCCACUUCACAGGGAAAAUUGA
rnacentral:rRNA from 1 species